rnacentral:lncRNA from 1 species
AAGAAGAGGAAGAAGAAGAGGAAGAAGAGAAAGAAUUGGAAGAAAAUUUCGAAGGAUACCAAACAUCUGAAGAGGCCGAUGAGUAGUGCUAAGUAUAUAAUUCUUGGAUGAUUUUAAUUACUUAUCUUGCAUCAUUUUAAAUCUUAAAUUGCCAUCCAUAAUUGUAUAAUUAAUUUGAUGAAUCUAUUUAUUUUUAUUUUCAGAGAGCAUACAUCGUGUCUUUUAGAGGUUGAAGUUGCGCC